GUGAAGUGGUUUAUCCUUAAACCCUAAUUUCCCUUUAGGAAAUUUAUUUUUUUCCUUUCGAUUUUUGAAUAAUUUUUUCGGGGUUGAAUUUGGCGCCGAGGAGAGAAGAAUCAAGUGCCAGUGGAGUUUCGUUUUCGCGCCUUCUGUUCUUGUUGAUCCGUCGUUCUUGUUUAUUCGGAACAAAUUUCCUCAUCGGAGCUUUGUUUUAGUGAAUCGAAACAACUAAACCAGUUAGCCGACGAUCAAACGCAACGGCGGCGGCAGUGUAAGAGGAGGAGGAGUGUUUAUGGCGAGAGUUCCGUUCUCGAACCUUAAAUCUAAACCUAAUACGAAAAAGAGGAAAACUAAUGGUGAAAUUAACAACCUCCAACAGAUGGAUGGAGGAUUGGGCAACGUAUCAACUCAAUCACACUCGGAUGAUGAGUCUUACAUCGAUCGUCACCAUGGAUCUUCGAAUUCCGAGUACACUCAAUAUGUGAGUUUAAAUAUAUCUUCGUGUUCAGGGAGGGAUUUGGUUGUUCUUAAGAAACGUUUACUCGCGGAGCUUGAACAAGUUAGGAGAUUCAAGAAUCGCCUUGAAUCUGUCGGCAUUGCUUUCGGAACUAAUUGUUUCAAGAAAUCGUCCAAGACUAAGGAGAUUAACAAGCAGCCGAAGCCGCUGCCUAGAUUCGGUAGAGAUUUGCAGGUUUCCAAUUUGUUUGAAGUUAAGAAUCUGAUGAAGGCUUGCUCUCAAAUCUUGAACAAGUUGAUGAAGCAGAAGUAUGGUUCGAUCUUCAACAAACCUGUGGAUGUGGUUGGGCUGCGUCUCCAUGAUUAUUAUGAUAUUGUUAAGCGUCCUAUGGAUUUAGGGACUGUGAAAUCUAAACUAGCUAGGAAUUUAUAUAACUCACCGUUGGAUUUUGCUGAAGAUAUUAGGCUAACCUUUAACAAUGCCAUGUUGUACAAUCCAAAAGGUCAUGAUGUCCAUGUCCUGGCUGAGCAGUGGUUGGUGAAAUUUGAGGAAUUGUUUCGCACUGUUAGUGAGAAGAUGGACGACCUGGUGCAGCCAGACCUGUAUGAGGAGGAAUUGCAAGCCAGUUCUUGGAAUCAUGUAGAAGAGGCGAAGGUGGAAGCGCCAUUGAGCUCAUCGAAACCGCCUUCAAUACAGUCGCCAGUGAAAACCCCAUCACCAGUGCGGGCUCCUCAAGUGAAGCCUGUUGUAAGGCAGCCAAAGCCAAAGGAUCCGAACAAAAGGGAGAUGAGUUUGGAGGAGAAACACAAAUUGGGAGUUGGGUUGCAGGGCUUGCCUCCUGAGAAAAUGGACCAAGUGAUACAGAUUGUGAAGAAGAGGAGUGGAAAUUUGACACAGGAUGGGGACGAGAUUGAGCUUGACAUCGAGGCAGUUGAUACCGAGACCCUUUGGGAACUCGACCGGCUGGUGACAGAUUGGAAGAAAAUGAUGAGCAAAGUCAAGCAGCAAUCCCUCAUCAGUGACAAUGCAAACGCUGAUUCUAUUAAAGCGAAUAAUGAGAUAUCAUGUGCAAAUGAAUUGAAUGAGGCUAAAACAGAGGCAAAGACGCUUAGAAAAGGGGAUAUGGGUGAGGAAGAUGUGGACAUUGGGGACGAGGAGAUGAUGCCAGUGGGUGGUUUCCCUCCUGUUGAAAUUGAAAACGAUGCAGCUGCUCAUGCUAGUAGUAGUAGGUCAGAUAGCUCAAGUAGUUCAGACAGUGAUGAUUCUUCCUCCUCAAGUGGUUCUGAUACAGAAGGUAGUUCCUCCGAUAGCGAAUCAGACGGUGACGGUGACGGUCAUUCAUAGGAUAUAUUACUAACAGCUUUCGGAACUAGCUAUCCACUGAACACAUCAGAAACGAGAUACUGAGUUUACGCAGAAAAUACCAUCAAAGCAAAAUACCAUCAAGACAGAUGAAGAGAAAGGUCGGUCGAAAGAAGACUAGGGGAAGACUAUAGGAUCCUCUUGCUCCCAUGGAAUGAGGAUUAGUCUCUGUGGUCUACCUGAGUAACAUGAAAUGUUACUAUCCCAACCAAGAAGACAUCAAGCAUAAGGAGGUGGUACGACCUCCCUCUGAUAGAGAAGACGUGCAUAGUCAACAAAUCGAGAAGUAGUUUUCAACCGUUCUUAACAAAUUGGAAGAGACUCCUCAAUAUAGUUGGAAAUGCGUCGAGAAACCUGAAGUCAGCAUCAUCUUACAUCGAGAUGUCAACCAGUUGAGUGAGGGAGGAUGUCAUAGUUAUGCUUGUCCAAAGUAUGUUGUCUAUGGCUGCAUGUUAGAUGUCCCAAUUAUACCUGUCCAAGGCGUGUUGCAUGUGGCUAGAUGUCCCAGUUAUGCCAGUCUAAGGUAUGCUGCAUGAGGCUGCAUGUCAGAUGUCCCCGUUGUCCCUAACUUUAACUUAACUCUUCAACAAAUUUGUAGAGUUGUAAUCCAACUUUCCAAAAAAAUUAGUUUAUCCUAUUUCAUUAUUUACACGGAAAUAAAUGCAUCCAAAGUUGACAAAA